rnacentral:piRNA from 1 species
UCCUAAAACAUUACAUAGAAAGCUAAGCUCU